AAAUUCUCAGCAGCCUUUAAAGCUCAUUUGAGUGUAUGGGUUGGCGUUUGAGGUGAGGCAAGGAGAGGCAGUGCAGGACAGCGAGAGAGGCAGAAGGGACUUGACAUUAGCCAGAGAUAUUCUUCAAGAUGGCGGAGAGCACAGAUCUGGAGCAGCUGAUGAACUCCUUUAAGAAGUUUGCGAUCCACGGAGACACCAAGGCGACAGGGAAGGAGAUGAACGGGAAGAACUGGGCUAAACUGUGUAAGGACUGCAAGAUCAUCGACGGGAAGAAUGUCACCGGCACUGACGUGGAUAUCGUCUUCACGAAAGUCAAAGCGAAGACGUCCCGGGUGAUCACCUACGAGGAAUUCCAGAAAGCCCUGGAGGAGCUGGCCCCGAAGAGGUUUAAAGGUCAGAGCAAAGAGGAGGCCCUAACGUCUGUCUACAAGCUGAUAGAGGGCAAGGAGCCCACCAACGUAGGAGUCACGAAAAUGGCGAAGACAGCCGCAGUGGACAGACUGACGGACACCACCAAGUACACAGGCUCCCACAAAGAGCGCUUCGACGAGAGCGGGAAGGGGAGGGGUAAGGGCGGGGGGGAGGAGCUGGUGGAGGAGACGGGAUACGUCGGCUCCUACAAGAACGCCGGAACCUACGAGGAGAAAACCAAGGCUAAGUAGACCACCGGGCCAGGCGCGGUGGUCAACAGGCCCAGUAGACCACCGGGCCAGGCGGUGUGGUCAACAGGCCCAGUAGACCACCGGGCCAGGCGGUGUGGUCAACAGGCCCAGUAGACCACCGGGCCAGGCGGUGUGGUCAACAGGCCCAGUAGACCACCGGGCCAGGCGGUGUGGUCAACAGGCCCAGUAGACCACCGGGCCAGGCGGUGUGGUCAACAGGCCCAGUAGACCACCGGGCCAGGCGGUGUGGUCAACAGGGCCAGUAGACCACCGGGCCAGGCGGUGUGGUCAACAGGUCCAGUAAACCACCGGGCCAGGCGGUGUGGUCAACAGGUCCAGUAGACCACCGGGCCAGGCGCGGUGGUCAAAAGGCCCACAACAUGAGAUGUAUCCCAAAUUACAUCCUACUUUAUACAGUCCACUACUUUGACCAGAGCGCUAUGGGUCCUGGUAUAAAGUAGUGCACUAUAUAGGGAAUAGAGUUCCAUAGGACUCUGGUCUAAAGUAGUGCACUAUAUAGGGAAUAGGGUUCCAUUUGAGACACUUCUAGGGUCACUAUCCCCUCGGCCCCCCCCCCUCCCCCUACAGUCGGGACCAAACCCUGAACCCAGAACUCUGACCCCUAACCACAGGCUUAACCCCUGGCCCUUUCAACAGAGGCUGUCCUCUCUUAUCUUUGAUGUGUCCUGAGGGGGUGUGUGUGUGUUGUGAUCGGGGAUGAUGAGAGAGAGAACAUGCUUUUUACUUUUAUUAUAGCUAUGGAGGUCGUGAGGUGAUCUCCUUCAACAGAGAUAUGACCGAUAGACAGGUCGUGAGGUGAUCUCCUUCAACAGAGAUAUGACUGAUAGACAGGUCGUGAGGUGAUCUCCUUAAACAGAGAUAUGACCGAUAGACAGGUCGUGAGGUGAUCUCCUUCAACAGAGAUAUGACCGAUAGACAGGUCGUGAGGUCAUCUCCUUCAACAGAGAUAUGACCGAUAGACAGGUCAUGAGGUGAUCUCCUUCAACAGAGAUAUGACCGAUAGACAGGUCGUGAGGUCAUCUCCUUCAACAGAGAUAUGACCGAUAGACAGGUCGUGAGGUGAUCUCCUUCAACAGAGAUAUGACCGAUAGACAGGUCAUGAGGUGAUCUCCUUCAACAGAGAUAUGACCGAUAGACAGGUCAUGAGGUGAUCUCCUUCAACAGAGAUAUGACCGAUAGACAGGUCAUGAGGUCAUCUCCUUCAACAGAGAUAUGACCGAUAGACAGGUCGUGAGGUGAUCUCCUUCAACAGAGAUAUGACCGAUAGACAGGUCGUGAGGUGAUCUCCUUCAACAGAGAUAUGACCGAUAGACAGGUCGUGAGGUGAUCUCCUUCAACAGAGAUUUGUCUGAUGUGUGUUUACAGAUGACUAGAUCAGAAUGCUCUGUUCACUGUCAAACCUGGCCUGCCCUGAGACUGUACAUAGACCUGUGAUAUACCAUACCUUCACCUUGCUUUGGUUUUAACAUGUGGAGUUGCACUGUGAAAUAUUGAUGCAAGAGUUGCUCUGGAAUUGAAUGAAACAUCCACUGUAAAGUCAAACGUCAGCACCAAGACCGUGAUUAGACAAAACACAUACUGGUCAAAUAAUCUGACAUUGUGCCGUGUUUCCAUAGGCUUCAAACCAUGAAUGUCCUCUUUGAAUUGAGUU